rnacentral:rRNA from 1 species
CGUAGGGUGCAAGCGUUAAUCGGAAUUACUGGGCGUAAAGCGUGCGCAGGCGGUUAUGUAAGACAGUUGUGAAAUCCCCGGGCUCAACCUGGGAACUGCAUCUGUGACUGCAUAGCUAGAGUACGGUAGAGGGGGAUGGAAUUCCGCGUGUAGCAGUGAAAUGCGUAGAUAUGCGGAGGAACACCGAUGGCGAAGGCAAUCCCCUGGACCUGUACUGACGCUCAUGCACGAAAGCGUGGGGAGCAAACAGGAUUAGAUACCCUGGUAGUCCACGCCCUAAACGAUGUCAACUGGUUGUUGGGUCUUCACUGACUCAGUAACGAAGCUAACGCGUGAAGCUGACCGCCUGGGGAGUACGGCCGCAAGGUUG